rnacentral:rRNA from 1 species
GACGAACGCUGGCGGCGUGCCUAACACAUGCAAGUCGAACGGUAAGGCCCUUCGGGGUACACGAGUGGCGAACGGGUGAGUAACACGUGGGUGAUCUGCCCUGCACUUCGGGAUAAGCCUGGGAAACUGGGUAUAAUACCGGAUAGGACCACUGCCUGCAUGGGUGGGGGUGGAAAGCUUUUGCGGUGUGGGAUGGGCCCGCGGCCUAGCAGCUUGUUGGUGGGGGGAUGGCCUACCAAGGCGACGACGGGUAGCCGGCCUGGGAGGGUGAUCGGCCACACUGGGACUGGGAUACGGCCCAGACUCCUACGGGAGGCAGCAGUGGGGAAUAUUACACAAUGGGCGCAAGCCUGAUGCAGCGACGCCGCGUGAGGGAUGACGGCCUUCGGGUUGUAAACCUCUUUCAGCACCGACGAAGCGCAAGUGACGGUAGGUGCAGAAGAAGGACCGGCCAACUACGUGCCAGCCGCCGCGGUAA